ACAUACCAGAUGCUGAUGUUCAAGAAAGUGGUAGCAUUCACAAUACUGUGGCGUAUACAACGAGAAAAAUGAAAUUUACAAAGCAAUGAUUACUGGCGGGAUUGCUGUCAUCGCCCUGAUCCCAGGUGCAGUUAGUAAGUACGUGGUGUUGUGUCACUGUUCUGGUUUUGUGACACCUGCAUGGCCUGUCGUAUAUUUUGGUCUACUUCAAUUAUUUGGUUCCAGUCACCUUGUACCGGCUCAUGCAGGCUGAACUAACCGAAUUAAGAUUGUUUGUAGCUUUUUCUUUAUUACACGGAAUAUUCAACAUCCUUGCUCAGCAACAGCUAAAAGAAAAUAAUGGCAAUUAAAAAGCAUUCUACGACAUUGAUGAACUUUAUCGCGUUGGGGAACACAUUCGCCCGUUUUUUAACUUUCUAAAAUGCGAUGUAAUUAAAGCUAGAGUCUUUAUGAACCAGCUCUGACGUGGGAAAUUGGCGAUGCUUGCCAACAACCAGCAGAAAUUGGAUCUGUAAGGUACCUAAUAUGCUCGGAGUAUAUACU